rnacentral:rRNA from 1 species
GACGAACGCUGGCGGCGUGCCUAAUACAUGCAAGUAGAACGCUGAAGGAGGAGCUUGCUCUUCUGGAUGAGUUGCGAACGGGUGAGUAACGCGUAGGUAACCUGCCUGGUAGCGGGGGAUAACUAUUGGAAACGAUAGCUAAUACCGCAUAAGAGUAGAUGUUGCAUGACAUUUACUUAAAAGGUGCAAUUGCAUCACUACCAGAUGGACCUGCGUUGUAUUAGCUAGUUGGUGGGGUAACGGCUUACCAAGGCGACGAUACAUAGCCGACCUGAGAGGGUGAUCGGCCACACUGGGACUGAGACACGGCCCAGACUCCUACGGGAGGCAGCAGUAGGGAAUCUUCGGCAAUGGACGGAAGUCUGACCGAGCAACGCCGCGUGAGUGAAGAAGGUUUUCGGAUCGUAAAGCUCGGUUGUAAGAGAAGAACGAGUGUGAGAGUGGAAAGUUCACACUGUGACGGUAUCUUACCAGAAAGGGACGGCUAACUACGUG